GGCAAAGCAGGGUUUGGGGUGAACGCUGACAAAUUGUGCCCCUCCCAUGUAAUAACCUUGUGACUCUCUGAGGGGUCCUAACUCCCAGUUUAAGAGCCCCUGCACUAGAAGGAAGGGUUUGUGUGUUUAAUAAGGUAACAUUUAACUACAGUGAAACUUCAGAGUUAGACAGUGUAGGAAUGGAGGUUGUCUAACUCUGAUUCAGCAGCUUACACUCCAGGCCAAGUUUCAGCAGCAGCUAAGCUCCCUACUCAACUUGGUAUAAGUUUGCAAGCUUGUCUUCUUGCCAGCAGAUGGGGGGUGUGUGGGGGAGGAGAGGAGGAUCAAGGGCUUAAAAGGUGUGUCCCCUUCCAGGCAGGGGCAGUGGUGAAAGCAAUGCAGACCCCCACUGUUCUACUGACUCAAGCAUGUGGGGAUGGGGACAGGCAGCCCAGAUGUACCUAUCCUGAAGAUGCAAUAUAGGCAUAGUAGAGUAUUUAUUUAUUUAUUUAGUUAUUUAUUUUUUACUCUGCUGCUGCCUGAUUGGUUACUUCUGGUUUCACAUGGCAUCCAGUAGCCUGGUGAGUCUAUAAAUCUGGUGUUUGUAUCUUUGAGGUUCUACCAUAUACCACAAGAAAAGCCCUAUAGUCUCUCUCAUGAAUUCUCAGCAAACAAAGGAACUCUUUAGGCCUAUAAAGACUCAUUCAAACAAUGUGGGGGUAUUUUUUAACAAAGGAAUGGGGGAUUUUAAAUCUGAAACAAUACAUAUACAAACUAGCCCUACUGUAGCUGUACACUAAAUACUACUGAAUUUAAAAUUGAAAUUAAAUCAGCUCAUACAGUUGAUCACUUCUAAAACAGUUCCCCAUCUGCUAUGUACAUAAGUUAGAAUGAAAUAAUUGCCAUUGGAACUCGAGACUGGAGUGAAAAUAGAUUCAAACUAACUGUUUAACAUUACUUCAUAACUAAGAUAAGCAAUGUGCUAAGAAAAUAAUAGGUGCAGCCUAUAAUGAGAAGAGUUUUUUCAAAUAGAUUCCAAAUGAGAAAUCAGUCUCCCAAUAUCAAAACAAGACUGGUUUUCCCACUUAUACUGACUUUCUUCAAAAGUUUAAGAUUAAAUUGUCUUCAGAAUCUCUACCUGUUGGUUUCAGAUAUGCCCUUUUACAUCUACUAUGAUACAGCAGCCUGGUGAAAACAGAGCUUUAUUAUACAAGUCUAUAAGCAACAAUGGAGCAAGGAUGUCCUUAAGGGGAAAAAAAUAAAUCUUUUACCACAUCUUAAAAUGGUCUCUUUUCAACUCAUUUGUAGUAUAUGUGCAGUUGAAGUGUUCACGCCAUGCAAUGUCAUAAUUUUAUUUGAAAGAAACAGCAGGACCUCUAUCUUCCAUUGUUCCUGGGACAUUUUAGAAAUAAACAGUUCUUAAAAAAUGAGGAUUGGAUCAAUAUACAGCUAAAACAAUUUAACCAAUUUAAAUGGACAAUGCAAAAUGUUUCUGAAACAACCAGGUCUUCAGUCAUUUGAGGUCUUCCACAUAUUUAAUAAGCUAAUGCCAAGAGAAAUCAGUUUAUAUAAUGUGCAAAAUAAUGGACAUGUACUGUAAACUGAACCAAAGUAUCUUAGCAUUAUCUGCUUUCUAUAUUAUGCUAUUCAUUUUAAAAUUAUUCAAUAUUUUGGAAUGACAGUAUAAAGAUACCCUGUUUUCAAAAGUUACUCUAUUUUGUAGUGCAGAAUGGUCUAAACUCUGCCUUGCACCCUAGACAACCUUAAAAAAUAUUUCAAGUUCCCUAUUCAGGAGGGUGCUUCAACACUCAAAUUCUAUUUACUUCAGUAGAACUUAGGUAUAUGAUUAAGUGCUGUCUUGAGAAGAAAUAGCUUAAGUUAGUGAAGAAUGUCUGUAAAUCUUUUGAUAGAUACUCUUUAUUCCUUCACAAUGUGCAGGUAUAGGUUUUUUGCAUCAACCAUGCAGUACAUUGUUCAGCAGUUUUGAUCUUA